rnacentral:rRNA from 1 species
AUUGAACGCUGGCGGCAGGCCUAACACAUGCAAGUCGAGCGAGCGGCGGACGGGUGAGUUAUGUAUGGGGACUCCGCGUUAGAGGGGGGUAACUAUUGGGAACGGUGGCUAAUACCCCACACUGCCGCAUAACCCAUAUGGGAUUAGCUAGUGGGUAUGGUAAUGGCUUACCUAGGGGACGAUCCCCAGCUGGUCUGAGAGGAUGAUCAGCCACACUGGGACUGAGACACGGCCCAGACUCCUACGGAGGCAGCAGUGGGGAAUAUUGCACAAUGGGCGCAAGCCUGAUGCAGCCAUGCCGCGUGUAUGAAGAAGGCCCUAGGGUUGUAAAGUACUGUCAGUCGGGAGGCGUUACCGACAGAAGAAGCACCGGCUAACUCCGUGCCAGCAGCCGCGGUAAUAC